GUUGGUUCAACCGAUCGCGAUAAACUAAGCACCGCCGCAUGCAUCAGAAAUUUCAAACGCGAUCCCGUGAAGCGGUUAUUCAUUUGGUCACGGUUUCACAAGGAUUCAUUCAGCAGCAGUGCCGAAUCGUGAGCGAGGCAAGCGGUACAGUGUUUCAGGGGAAGUGGUCUACUGAAUAAUGAAUAGGAGUGUUGUUUUGAGCGGGGCGUUGAACAUCACGGGAUACUCUGAUUCCCUUGUGAAUUAUUGAGCUGACACAAUUCAGUGGUUGCAAUGAAGGUGUCAGUGUCAGGUACAAGGGGCAUGCUGCCUCCUUGACCCUGUCGCUACCAAGGUUAUGUUUACUUCCCUCCAAACUCCCAACUUUGACACUAUGCAAAAAGAAGAUUCCCCAUCACAUCAAACUUGCGGUACAUGCAUGGAGUACUAAAUGUAGACGAAAUAAAAAACUAAUUGCACAGUUUUGUUGUACUUUGCGAGACGAAUCUUUUGAGCCUAAUUAGUCAAUAUUUGGACAAUAAUUCACAAAUACAAACGAAACGCUACAGUUGCGCAUUUAUAGC
rnacentral:lncRNA from 1 species